rnacentral:rRNA from 1 species
UGGGGAAUAUUGCACAAUGGGCGCAAGCCUGAUGCAGCCAUGCCGCGUGUAUGAAGAAGGCCUUCGGGUUGUAAAGUACUUUCAGCGGGGAGGAAGGCGAUAAGGUUAAUAACCUUGUCGAUUGACGUUACCCGCAGAAGAAGCACCGGCUAACUCCGUGCCAGCAGCCGCGGUAAUACGGAGGGUGCAAGCGUUAAUCGGAAUUACUGGGCGUAAAGCGCACGCAGGCGGUCUGUCAAGUCGGAUGUGAAAUCCCCGGGCUCAACCUGGGAACUGCAUUCGAAACUGGCAGGCUAGAGUCUUGUAGAGGGGGGUAGAAUUCCAGGUGUAGCGGUGAAAUGCGUAGAGAUCUGGAGGAAUACCGGUGGCGAAGGCGGCCCCCUGGACAAAGACGGACGCUCAGGUGCGAAAGCGUGGGGAGCAAACA